UAUUUUAAAAUUUUCUAUACACAACCAGAAACAGCUAGAGAAACAGCGCAAGCACGGAAACACAAAGGAAAGCGUUGAAAGCUUUUCAUGAGGAAGACAUUUUUCAAAACCUGAGAAAUGGGCAUAAUUUCUCAAAUACUAAUCCGCAAGCAGGAGAUUUGAACAAUCAAAUGUAUUGACCAUGGACAAUAAAGAUUUGAAUGUUUUAUUAAGCUUUUGUUUGCAUUAUAUAUUGCUAUGCAAUGCAC